rnacentral:lncRNA from 1 species
AUGAUGUUUGGCAGCUUUCAAGGUAAAACAGUAAGUCUGAGGAGCAGAAACCAAGGUCAGUGCUGGAAGUGCUCUUCAGUGUUGCAAGUCACUGCAAUAAAAUUCUCCAGGCUUUCCUCCCUCAUUGUGCAGCUUCACAAACACUGGGCAACGGCAUUCAGAAGAAGGUGCUUCACAGUGGUAGGAGAAAACAGCUCAGUGCAGGGGGAGCAAAGGAUUGAAUUGUCUCCAGCAGAGAAGGCAGAAUUCCAUGCUAUAGUGCCCUUUUGCAACAGUAAGCUCAUGUACUCUUAG